rnacentral:rRNA from 2 species
UUUAAUUGAAGAGUUUGAUCAUGGCUCAGAUUGAACGCUGGCGGCAGGCCUAACACAUGCAAGUCGAGCGGCAGCACAGAGGAACUUGUUCCUUGGGUGGCGAGCGGCGGACGGGUGAGUA